GACGAACGCUGGCGGCGUGCUUAACACAUGCAAGUCGAACGGAAAGGCCCUGCUUUUGUGGGGUGCUCGAGUGGCGAACGGGUGAGUAACACGUGAGUAACCUGCCCUUGACUUUGGGAUAACUUCAGGAAACUGGGGCUAAUACCGGAUAGGAGCUCCUGCUGCAUGGUGGGGGUUGGAAAGUUUCGGCGGUUGGGGAUGGACUCGCGGCUUAUCAGCUUGUUGGUGGGGUAGUGGCUUACCAAGGCUUUGACGGGUAGCCGGCCUGAGAGGGUGACCGGCCACAUGGGGACUGAGAUACGGCCCAGACUCCUACGGGAGGCAGCAGUGGGGAAUAUUGCACAAUGGGCGGAAGCCGGAUGCAGCAACGCCGCGUGCGGGAUGACGGCCUUCGGGUUGUAAACCGCUUUCGCCUGUGACGAAGCGUGAGUGACGGGAAUGGGUAAAGAAACACCGGCGAACUACGU
rnacentral:rRNA from 1 species